rnacentral:rRNA from 1 species
GGGGAAUAUUGCACAAUGGGCGCAAGCCUGAUCCAGCCAUGCCGCGUGUGUGAAGAAGGCCUUAUGGUUGUAAAGCACUUUAAGCGAGGAGGUGGCUCUUUUGGUUAAUACCCAGGAUGAGUGGACGUUACUCGCAGAAUAAGCACCGGCUAACUCUGUGCCAGCAGCCGCGGUAAUACAGAGGGUGCGAGCGUUAAUCGGAUUUACUGGGCGUAAAGCGUACGUAGGCGGCUUUUUAAGUCGGAUGUGAAAUCCCCGAGCUUAACUUGGGAAUUGCAUUCGAUACUGGGAAGCUAGAGUAUGGGAGAGGAUGGUAGAAUUCCAGGUGUAGCGGUGAAAUGCGUAGAGAUCUGGAGGAAUACCGAUGGCGAAGGCAGCCAUCUGGCCUAAUACUGACGCUGAGGUACGAAAGCAUGGGGAGCAAAC